rnacentral:lncRNA from 1 species
ACUAAUUAACCUUACACUAGGAUCUAAAUAUGAUACAACAGCAUGCAUUUAAAUUUGAAAUUCAAAUUCGAAACAGUAAAUUUUUUACUGUACUGUGUUCAGAACACAUCACCUUUUGCGGGUAGUCGAUCACCGCAAUCUGAUCAUCGUUGGGAGACUUUGAUCAUCACAUCAUAGCCACACUAGUGUCUGACCUCUGCAGAUCAUCCACACGAAGCUCCCGUC